GACGAACGCUGGCGGCGUGCCUAAUACAUGCAAGUCGAACGCUUCUUUUUCCACCGGAGCUUGCUCCACCGGAAAAAGAGGAGUGGCGAACGGGUGAGUAACACGUGGGUAACCUGCCCAUCAGAAGGGGAUAACACUUGGAAACAGGUGCUAAUACCGUAUAACAAUCGAAACCGCAUGGUUCUGAUUUGAAAGGCGCUUUCGGGUGUCGCUGAUGGACGGACCCGCGGUGCAUUAGCUAGUUGGUGAGGUAACGGCUCACCAAGGCCACGAUGGAUAGCCGACCUGAGAGGGUGAUCGGCCACAUUGGGACUGAGACACGGCCCAAACUCCUACGGGAGGCAGCUGUAGGGAAUCUUCGGCAAUGGACGAAAGUCUGACCGAGCAACGCCGCGUGAGUGAAGAAGGUUUUCGGAUCGUAAAACUCUGUUGUUAGAGAAGAACAAGGAUGAGAGUAACUGUUCAUCCCUUGACGGUAUCUAACCAGAAAGCCACGGCUAACUACGUGCCAGCCGCCGCGGUAA
rnacentral:rRNA from 1 species